rnacentral:rRNA from 1 species
UACAGAGGGGGCAAGCGUUGUUCGGAAUUACUGGGCGUAAAGGGCGCGUAGGCGGCCCGCUAAGUCGAACGUGAAAUCCCCGAGCUCAACUCGGGAACUGCGUCCGAUACUGGUGGGCUUGAAUCCGGGAGAGGGAUGUGGAAUUCCAGGUGUAGCGGUGAAAUGCGCAGAUAUCUGGAGGAACACCGGUGGCGAAGGCGGCAUCCUGGACCGGUAUUGACGCUGAGGCGCGAAAGCUAGGGGAGCAAACGGG